rnacentral:rRNA from 1 species
GUCCACGCAGUAAACGAUGCCGACUAGGCGUGGGGGGAGUUGACCCCCUCCGUGCCGGAGCUAACGCGGGAAGUCGGCCGCCUGGGGAGUACGGCCGCAAGGCUAAAAACUCAAAGGAAUUGACGGGAGCCCGCACAAGCGGCGGAGCGUGCGGUUUAAUUCGACGCAACGCGUAGAACCUUACCAGGGCUUGACAUGCGCCUGCAUCCCCCGGAAACGGGGUGGCCUUCGAGGGUGGCGCACAGGUGCUGCAUGGCUGUCGU